rnacentral:rRNA from 1 species
AGUGAACGCUGGCGGUAGGCCUAACACAUGCAAGUCGAACGGCAGCACAGUAAGAGCUUGCUCUUACGGGUGGCGAGUGGCGGACGGGUGAGGAAUACAUCGGAAUCUACUUUUUCGUGGGGGAUAACGUAGGGAAACUUACGCUAAUACCGCAUACGACCUACGGGUGAAAGCAGGGGAUCUUCGGACCUUGCGCGAUUGAAUGAGCCGAUGUCGGAUUAGCUAGUUGGCGGGGUAAAGGCCCACCAAGGCGACGAUCCGUAGCUGGUCUGAGAGGAUGGUCAGCCACACUGGAACUGAGACACGGUCCAGACUCCUACGGGAGGCAGCAGUGGGGAAUAUUGGACAAUGGGCGGAAGCCUGAUCCAGCCAUACCGCGUGGGUGAAGAAGGCCUUCGGGUUGUAAAGCCCUUUUGUUGGGAAAGAAAAGCAGCAGGUUAAUACCCCGCUGUUCUGACGGUACCCAAAGAAUAAGCACCGGCUAACUUCGU